AUUGAACGCUGGCGGCAGGCCUAACACAUGCAAGUCGAGCGGAAACGAUCCUAGCUUGCUAGGAGGCGUCGAGCGGCGGACGGGUGAGUAACGCGUGAGAAUCUACCCAUGAGUCGGGGGACAACCCGGGGAAACUCGGGCUAAUACCGCAUACGCCCUACGGGGUAAAGCAGGGGACCUUCGGGCCUUGCGCUGAUGGAUGAGCUCGCGUCGGAUUAGCUUGUUGGUGAGGUAAAGGCUCACCAAGGCGACGAUCCGUAGCUGGUCUGAGAGGAUGAUCAGCCACACCGGGACUGAGACACGGCCCGGACUCCUACGGGAGGCAGCAGUGGGGAAUCUUGGACAAUGGGGGCAACCCUGAUCCAGCCAUGCCGCGUGUGUGAAGAAGGCCUUCGGGUUGUAAAGCACUUUCAGCAGGGAGGAAGGCUUACCCCUAAUACGGGUGAGUACUUGACGUUACCUGCAGAAGAAGCACCGGCUAAUUUCGUG
rnacentral:rRNA from 1 species